rnacentral:rRNA from 1 species
AUACGUAGGGUGCAAGCGUUAAUCGGAAUUAUUGGGUUUAAAGGGUGCGUAGGCGGGCUGUUAAGCGUGAGGUGAAAGCUCGGGGCUCAACCCCGGAACUGCCUCGCGAACUGGCGGUCUUGAAUGUCCGUGCCGUGGGAGGAACGUGCGGGGUAGCGGGGAAAUGCAUAGAGAUCACACAGAACACCGAUUGCGAAGGCAUCUCACGAACGGAUGAUUGACGCUGAGGCACGAAAGCGUGGGGAUCAAACAGGAUUAGAUACCCUGGUAGUCCACGCAGUAAACGAUGAUAACUAACCGCUGGUGCGCAAGUAUCAUUGGCCAAGCGAAAGCGAUAAGUUAUCCACCUGGGGAGUACGACCGCAAGGUUGAAACUCAAAUGAAUUGACGGGG